AAGCCGCCCAGUGCCAGGGGAAUCAAAGCAGCAGCCUUCAGCUUGAAAAGCAGCAGAAGGGGCAACAACAUCUUCAACCUCUUCUUCUUCCCUCGUGCUGAAACAAUUCGAUUUAGUUGUCUGGGUCUCAAUCGUCGCCAUUUAUACCGCUGACGGCAACAAGCAACAAGCCCACACCUCCCCGAAUCUCUGAUGUGUGGCGGAUUGCAGCUAACAGGGGCGAAGCGUUUCGUGAUUCGCUUUGAAAUAUCAUAGGAAAUUUCUGUUCCGAGGAAUUUAUGGCCGCAAUCUGAGAGUGAUUGUAU